GUGCAUUUUAUGGCUGGUGUAAAUCAACUAUAAACAAAACAUGAUGACCAAACAAAUGAGUGUAGGAUUCCAGUCUGCACUGUAAGUAGCUUUGUUAAUUUACAAAGUAUGUUGAUUAUAGCGAGAGCCUGAUUUGGAUUUCCUCGAUAGCGUAUAUCCUGUAUCCUGUCACCAACAAGCAGUGUAACUAAUAAUGUCAGUACAUUCCUGUCUGCAUUGGGUAUUCCAUCCAUAUACCACAAAUGUUUGAAAAGUUUGGAGAGGAAAAUAGGACACGUAGUUGAACAGACUGCGGGUGACUCAUGUGCACAGGCUUCGAAACAAGAGUGGGUACAGGCGGAACUUAGAACACCAUUGUCGGAAAUGCUGACCUGUCUAGUUCAUGUGAAGAACGUAUGGAGAGGACAAUAGAACACGUAUUUGAACCGACUGUGCGUGACUCAUGUGCACAGGCUUCAGAACAAGAGCCGAUACAGGCGGAACUUAGAAGACCAUUGCCGGAAAUGCAACUGUCUUUUUUAUGCGUAGAAGACAAAAUAUCAUUUGAGAUAGCAAUGGAAAUAUUAGAAAAUGCAGAUGACGACACCGAUGAUCGUUGGUAUAGGAAGACAAUUUUUUAAAUUCUCAGCAGGAAGGUGUUGAAAGCAUGUGCACAGCAGAAAUUUAGACUGUUCUUUUGACACUUCUACAAGCAGUCAGGGGUUGUGCGUAUUGAAUGAAGGUAUCUGCGUAUCAAGUACAAGGAAUGGAACUUCGCAGUGUGCACGUGUUGGAAGUACAUGUGAAUCAGACUCAACAGUCGAAAUAACAGUCAGUCAAGAUGCAGCCUGGUCGAAACGUGGUCUAGCAAUGAAUAGCUUAUUCGGUUGGGGACACGUCAUUGGAGAAAAAAAACACGAACAUGCUUGAAUUUCUCUACAAGAGUCAAGAAUUGUGCCAAGUGCAUUUUCUAUAACAGAGCAAAAAAUAGUUCCUUCCUCAUGACUAUAGAAGAAAUUGGUCACAGAGCUCUAAAAGUAUGGAAUCGGAUAUAGCUGUAAUUUUACAUAAAGAAGCAAAGGACACUGGAUUGAAGUAUGCUGCCGCCAUUGGUGAUGAAGAUUUUUUUUUUUUUUUUUUUGAAUUGUUUCACAAACGUGGAACAACCCGUUUAUUCUUUCAUUUCAACAUAUACAUUAGUAAUAACAUACAUUGAUAUUUGAGUAUGAGACAAUAUAUGAGAUAUACAUCUGAGCAAUACUUUCUUGAUUACAUAAUAACUUGAAUAUACAAUCACAUAUUCUUUAAAAAAGCUUUCAAAGUAUACGGACUAAUAUUCCUAUUUUCAUAAUAGUUGAUUAAAACUAAAAUAUCGUAAUAUGAAAUGUUCCAAAUGUUUAAAGCUUUUGUUCGUCUUUCGCUCAUAAAAUAAGUUUUGUAUAAGCAAUAUGAAAUACAAUUUAGUAAUAAAUUUAUUUUGUCAUAUUCACGGAGUUCUAUCUUGUAUCCAAUAAUCAAACAUUUCAGAUUCCUAAAUGAUUUAUUAAAACCACAUCUAUUAAAUGUAACUUCAGUUUUAGACCAGAAGGUAUCUAAAUAUUUACAACCAAGGAAAAAGUGAUCAAAGUCUUCAAACUCAUUCCAAUAUUUACAUAAUGGACUAUUUUCUAUGUUCCACUUAAAUAGAUUAGCAUUUGUUGCUAUUAUUCUAUGUAUAGUCUUAUAUUUAAAUUGCUUUAUUCGAUUAUCUACUACAACUUUGUUUAAUACAUAGUAAAAGGAUUCCCAUUUGAUAUUAUUUGAAAAUAGCUCUUCCCAAUAUUUGUGAAUAUACGGUUUGUUGAAUUUGGCGUCGAGAAAAGAAUUGUAUAUGUCUUUGUUUACUGUAUUUUCGAUUAAUUUGUGUUUGACGUACAUAUUAAAAGAUGUUUUUACCUUCGAUUUUAUUGACUCUUCAGAAGUAAGAAUUUCUUUCCAAUGACAAGGAAUUGAUUUUUUGAGUAUGCUAAUCUCAGCAAUCCAGUUGUGUUUGUUUAUAAGUUUUCGAUAUAUACUGUUUGUAUUAAUUUCACCAUUGUCAAAUAUAAUAUCGUUUAUAAAUAUUAAACCAGAGUCAAUCCAUGAUUGAAAUAACA
rnacentral:lncRNA from 1 species